CGAGCCGCCGUCCCGGUGGAUCUUUGGACUCUUCCAUGCUGCAGUUUCUUUUAAAGCUCGGGUUCGGUGGUGGGUUUCAAAUAAAACCCUUUGCGGUUUGAUUCGCGGUGCUCCCUGUGAGUCCAUCGUCCACAAAUGAAAUGUCUUCGGGCGUUUUUCAGUUGCUUUUUAUGCAGAGCUUCCUGUGGAACGCAGGAAUUGGAUGGACAAUCCCAAACCGGACUUCCUAGUUAUCUCGGCACGCAAGGGAGUCUGGGCUUCGUCCCCUCCCAAAACAGCCAUCUCCAGGAAGAUGUGUCCUGAUCUGGGAACACCAUCUGACCCCGUCCCCUCCAGGAAGGAUGCACCGACCACAAUGACAGACUGGAGAAUAGGAAGGACAAACUCCAGCAGCAGAAAAUGAAGGCCCUUUGUUUGCCUUGUGCCUCAUGAGACAUGUGGUGGCAGAUUUACAACCGCCAUCCUGACCAGUGAGGCUGGGAGUCAGAGUGGAGAUCUAGAAUAACAUUUCAGAGCCUGAGUUAUAUUAAAUACUUCUCUUCAUUUCACUAACAA